rnacentral:rRNA from 1 species
UACGGAGGAUGCGAGUGUUAUCCGGAAUCACUGGGCGUAAAGCGUCUGUAGGUUGUUUGCUAAGUCUGCUGUUAAAGUCUUGAAGCUCAACUUCAAAAAUGCAGCGGAAACUAGUAGACUUGAGUGUGGUAGGGGUAGAGGGAAUUUCCAGUGAAGUGGUGAAAUGCGUAGAUAUUGGAAAGACCACCAAUGGCGAAGGCACUCUACUGGGCCACUACUGACACUGAGAGACGAAAGCUAGGGGAGCAAAUGGG